AUGAUUGGUGAUAUCAAUGAGAUUCAGUUUACCCAUGAAAAGGAGGGAGGCAAUCCUCGUCCUACACAAUAUAUGCAAGCUUUCCAGGAAGCCAUUGAGGAUUGUGAGCUUCAUGAUCUAGGAUUCCUUGGUGAUAAGUUUACUUGGCGAAGAGGAAGAAUACGUGAAAGACUAGAUAUAGGUCUUAUAAGUGAUACUUGGGCAGCCCUUUUCCCACAUGCGGCAUUGGAGAAUCUAGAAUACAAUCACUCUGAUCACAGGCUGCUCCUGGUUAACACAGACUACUAUGAUGGGUUGGGGAAUAGUAGUGGCAGUGCGUGUCCAAGGAGAUUUGAAGCGAGAUGGUUUCGUGAAAAAGAUUUCUGUAAUCUGGUCACAGAAGCUUGGGCAGAAGCGGGCGAAACAACUGGCGUGUCAGUUAUAGCUGCAAAGUUAAAGUUGAUGCAUGCUAAAUUCCAUGAUUGGGAUCAGUGUGUGUUAAAGAAGCCAAAGAAAAGAUUACGCCAAGCCCAAAGGGAAUUGGAGGAGGCGAUGCCUGGUCCGAUGGACGAUGAAUCUGACACAAAAAGGAAGGAGCUAGCUGAGUAG
rnacentral:rRNA from 1 species